rnacentral:rRNA from 1 species
CGGGGCCGGGGCAUAUACAUGCAGUCGAGCGGACAGAAGGGAGCUUGCUCUCGGAUGUUAGCGGCGGACGGGUGAGUAACACGUGGGUAACCUGCCUGUAAGACUGGGAUAACUCCGGGAAACCGGAGCUAAUACCGGAUAGUUCCUUGAACCGCAUGGUUCAAGGAUGAAAGACGGUUUCGGCUGUCACUUACAGAUGGACCCGCGGCGCCUUAGCUAGUUGGUGGGGUAGUGCCUCACCAUAAGCAACGAUGCGUAGCCGACCUGAGAGGGUGAUCGGCCACACUGGGACUGAGACACGCCCCAGACUCCUACGGGAGGCAGGGGUGGGAAAUCUUCCGCAUUGGACAAAAGUCUGACGGAGCACCCCCGCUGGAGUGAUAAAGUUUUUCGAAUCAUAAAGCUCUGUUGUAAGGAAGGAACAGGGCCGAGAUUAAUUCCUCGCACUUGGACGUUCCAUAACCGGAAAGCCACGGCUAACUACGUGCCAGCACGCCCCGUA